AGCAGCCGCGGUAAUUCCAGCUCCAAUAGCGUAUAUUAAAGUUGUUGCAGUUAAAAAGCUCGUAGUUGAAUUUCGGGGUUCUACCGUUGGUCGGGCUUUGUCUGUACUGGCGCGUAGAAUUUCUACCUUCUGGGGAACCGUCAUGUUAUUAAUUUAACGUGGUGGGAAACCAGGACCUUUACCUUGAAAAAAUUAGAGUGUUCAAAGCAGGCUUAUGUCUGAAUACAUUAGCAUGGAAUAAUAAAAUAGGACGGUGGUCCUGUUUUGUUGGUUUCUGAAUCACCGUAAUGAUUAAUAGGGAUAGUUGGGGGCAUUAGUAUUCAAUUGUCAGAGGUGAAAUUCUUGGAUGUAU
rnacentral:rRNA from 1 species